rnacentral:hammerhead_ribozyme from 1 species
AUCGAGCUGACGAGUCCUAAAUAGGACGAAACGCGCGUCCUCCAU